CAUUAAUAUUUACAAAUUCACGAACGAACUUAAUAAACUAACGACAGUCGUAUGCGAAGCAAAUUUGCAAACUUUCUGAAUUAAUUUCCUUGCUAGUACGUUGAUCAAGCUAUUAAAUUUCAGGACUGUGCGAAAUAAAAAUUUUCGAGAAAACACCUUACUUUUCUAUUAUUUUUUACGUAUUUACUAUACAAGCUUAGGGAUUCUCGUAGGGUUCCUCGUUUUAUGGGACCAAUUUGUCAGGGUUUUCACCAAUGAAUACAAAUCGGUCUCAUUCCGGAUAUCGAACGAUUUUUUCAUCAGUCGUGACGGUCACUUCAAGAUCGAUGAAUUCACUUUGAUAACCUUGACCUCUGGAUAGUUGGGGGAGGAGGGGGGGUGGCUUCAGAACGUAUUAAUAAAUUUCGUUGAUUUACCUAUAACGUAGUGGUCACGAUAACGUUGUCUUGGAUGCAAUGAUAAAUGUUUGUUUUUUUAGCUAUCGUCACCUUCGACCUUCCACUGUCUUCGUUCUGUAUCUCUGCUCGUUUGUUGUCAGACUUACGACCAGGACCAUUUAUUGAAUUGCACUGAAUGUCGUUACAAAGAGCUCAUUCUUACUGCGAUAUCGUUGUAACGACAACAAGGUGUUUAUGCCAAUAACGCGGUACGAUCAGAUGCAGAGAGUUACAACAUUUUUCCAACGUUGAUUAUUGAGAAAAAAAUGCAGACUGCGUGGCUAUAAGAAAGGAGAAAAAUGAAAAAUAUUUGUUUCAUUUUAGCUUUGGAAUUGAAUCGACGAAUGUAACUUGCAGACAAAAAAACACUAAAAGAAUUAAGAGAGAAGAGGUUGAGACACAGGAUGGAUUUAUCCGAAGACUGAAAUAGAAAGUAGAAUAGUCCAUGUCCCAUAUUAAACUGAUCGAUACCAGUAACUCUGCAUAUAAAAUAUGAUAAAUAAAUUGCUCUUUUUUUACGAAAAACCACUUGUCUUGACACGAAGAACACGAGACCGUGAUGAAUGGAUGGAUAAUAAACCAUCAAUUUUUUUCUAACAACAGGUUACAUAUAUUUUUAUCGACACCUAUAUUAUUCUGGAGUCAAAGGAAUUAAAAUUUAUUAAAAACUUAAUAAAUUUCUUUUACUUUAAAAUUUGCACGAUGUAACGUAUGAUAGAAACAAAAUUUCAGAGAAUUUAUGAUGCAAAAAAGAUUCGUCAUGGCUUUACGAGUUCUAGAAGCUAAAAAGUACGAUAAAAAAUAAUACAGAGGACGUACAAUCUUUUUAUAUCUACUGUAAGAAGAGAUGGACGAGGGUUAAAUUAAUAAGAUUAAUAACGACAUCAAGAGACGGAUAUAAAUAUCCAUUUAGCGAAAUAUAUCAUCUUGCAGAAACGAGCGUACACUGUGCAAUGUACAGGCAUCUUUAUUCGCGCGCCAGAUAUCGAAAAAACAAUUCGUGAAACACAUCUUCGACUAGCUUCUUGAGUAGGCCAGCUUCUUUCUUGGUUCUCGUCCCUACUCAUUACGGCGUGCAAAGUUCGCACGAAAUUAGGAAGUUGAUAAAAGCUUCAAUUGGAUAAGUUUGUAGCACUAGAAACGCGAUUAGACGUUUUUGUUUCGAGACACCUACCGAAGACAAGAAUAUUAUCGCGUAUGCAUAGCAAACAUCGGUAAUCUGUUGGUCAGAGAACAACCUCCAUAAAGAUUUGUAGUUUAGGCAAAGUAUUUUUUUUUAUUUAUUUAUUCAUUUUUAUUUUUAGUUCCUUUAACCUUGAUGUAACUCUUACUGUUUCGACUUCUAGUCGAUUAUCAUUCUGCCAAGGUUUGCAAAGAAUUAAUGUAAAUAAGAAAAAUAUUUUAACGCACAGGAAAUUCGUAUUUAAUGCGUUCCUAACGGAUGGAUCUGUCAGACGAAGAAGUCGAUGAUGACUCUCUUCCGUAACGCGACGAAGAAUUAAACUUUAACGUCCAGGACUUCUCGUCAACGCGUUUAUCGUUUUCGUCUUGAAAAACGAUGUUAAGAAUAAGUAUAUCUAUAGAUGUGCACACCGUAGAAAUUUUGUGAUACUCGACGAAAACUCGGGUUAAUAAAGUUCUUCGUUUCUCUCUU